rnacentral:rRNA from 1 species
GAGGGAAACUUACUGAUAAUACUGGAUAAAGUUAGUAUAUCGCAUGAUAUGCAAAUGAAAGCUACGGCACUAAAGGAGAGCUUUGCGUCCUAUUAGCUAGUUGGUAAGGUAAGAGCUUACCAAGGCGAUGAUAGGUAGCCGGCCUGAGAGGGUGGACGGCCACAAGGGGACUGAGAUACGGCCCUUACUCCUACGGGAGGCAGCAGCG